rnacentral:lncRNA from 1 species
AUUAAAAUAUGUUGAGGUGUAAUAUUUAACGAAACACAUGUCAUUGUUGAAUAAUUUAAGUGAUUAACGUGUUAUUUCAUCCUUUUUAGUCAUGCAUUGUUUAUCCUAACAUUUAAAUUAAGUAAAACAUUGUUCAUCUUCUUCAAAAAUUGAUCAGUCGAGAUAUGUAUCGUUCUUCUUCGUACUGCAGUUAUAAUUGUCAGAACAGGCAAGCUACUAUGCUCUUGCCACCACCCAGAAACU